UGCAAUUGAGAUGUGGUGCUGAAGCUGGUAAAUCGGAACCAAAUCAUAUUACAAAUGGAUUUGGUCCCCUUCAACCAGCUGUAGCAUGGCAUUCAAACCAA